AAAAAAAAAAAAUUCCCAAAACCGUGCUCUCUCUACCCCCAAGUUCCAGAUCUCUCUCCCUCCCACUCUCUCAGGCAAUCAAAUGAUCACUGCCAGAAGCAGAGAUCGCCCUAUUUUGACAGCCACAAUGGUACGGCUGUUGACGCACAGUGGUCAACAGAGACGGAGAAGAAGGGGCCGGAGACGGAAGAUUUGGUUUUGGGGAGGGGUUGUAAUGGAGAUUGCCGGUUUUGAGAUGAAUGAGUAGAGAGAUUUGGGCGUCCGGUAGCGGAAUGGCUUGCUGUUGGGCGGAUUUCAGUUAUCUAAAGAAGGUGUUUUUGCAACAUAGAUGUAGAGAUGGGUUGAUGGUGAUGCAACGAUGUAGAGAUGGGCUUAGAUGCCAAAACAGAUCUGUUGAACCGGGUGGUUGGUGGCGGUUGCAUAAUAUAUUCUUCAUGUUCGUAACCUGAUUCCUUUUUUUGUUUUGUUUUUUCUUGUGAACCUUUGCUAUAAACUUUUCUUGACUUUCCAAAGUGGGUGAGUAUUGGGAGUAACGAACAUCAAAUUGGUGCUAUUGUUUGGGCUAUGGGUAAUCCAAGAGGUGGUCCACUAAUUGGAUGGUUUGGAUCCAUAACAAAAUACGCCAAUAAAGGUUAAUACCAGUUACUAAAUGGUACUCAACGCUUCUAAACCUUAUCUUAAGAAAACUAAUCAGUAAUGAAGAGUACACUUACUACACUGAUGAGCAUUUCAAGUUUCUACAGGAGCUGUGUCUGAGUUUUUUUUUUUUUUUUUCUCCUACUGUUUGUCAGACCUGCUGCAAGUCCAUCAGAUACCCACGGUUUUGUUUUGGAUUACCAUUUGCAAUCUUGAAAUGCAACGAAUUUCCUCCCAUCGGGUCAUAAAUACAGUGAUGAAAGAGCAACACCGGAAUUUCACAUUGUAAGGCUGAAUAGCUGCUACUGUAGUUGAAAAUCGACUCCAUGGAUUGAAAGCCUCCAUUAUGGUUAGAAAGAUGGUGUGAUGUGGUCCCUGUUCUCUAACGUUGAUUUUCACAUGGCUAUUCUUAUUUUUCCUUCAUUUUGUGGAGCUAAACUAGUUAUAUGAUUGAAUCUUGUUAUCUAUCGCAGUUCUUUCAGUCCUUCUAUGGCAUUUAACCAAAUUCUCCAUUUUUGUUAUAUAGUUAUUUAAAAAAUAAAAAUAAAAAUCUGUUGAGCACAGCUGGAAAAUGUUUUAUUCAGUGCACUGGGUUGAUAUUGAAAAUGUGGCAUAAGAGUCCAUGAUCUAGACUGUCAUACUCUGGGUCACAUUGUGGAUUGGCGACAAACAGAGAAAUGUCAUUGAUUGGAUGAUCCUAACCAUGUAAUCGCUAACCAUUCUUUUAUAAGACAACAGGUCCUAGGAACAUAUUCUGCAGCCAAAUGAGUAGCAUGGAUUCUAUGCCUGGGUCCUCAGUUUGUGCAAGUGAGCCCCACAGUUCAGUCCAGACCAUUGAUCUGAUAGGCAUCACCAUGAAUGGUCCAUGCCUCAAAAUUUCAAUGAUGGGGCAAUCCUAAACCUCCUUCUGGUGCCCUGCAAAUAGAAGGUUCAGAAAAAAAAAAGGCAGCAAAAGAUUCAUUUUCAGUGGAGAAUUGUCCAGAGAAUGGAUGGCUAGGAUCUUCUGAUUUGUUGGUUAUUUGGGAUAUUGCUCAUCCGUUCAUUUUUUUAACGGAAGAUUAUUUUUUUCUUCUAUUGUAAACAUGUAUUGUUGCCUUAGAUGCAUCAACAUCACCAGCUUCAAGAGAACUUACCUCAGAGUUUGGUUCCUGUAUUAAUCCAGGUCUCACAUUCGCAUUUCGGUCAUGCAGCUCAGCCCGCUCAUUACUACCACAAGUAGGCCUUCAAGAUGAGAGGCUGAUGUUAUUGCAAGUCAAGGAUAAUAGAAUCAAGGCUUGGAUACUCUCAGCAUCUGCUUUGUCUUUGUGUUCUUUUAAAUGGGUCUUCUCUAACUCUUCCGUUUUCAAUAUCUACUCAGAAAGCCUGUAGGUAAGCACACUAUGCUCAUGCCACAACUUCAUCAGCUCAUCCUCAUAUUCCUGCAGCAAUGAUAACUGGGCAACUUGUUCAUCCAACUUGGAUCUAAGGACUAUAACUGUGAUUUCCAGCUCAUCCCUACAAGACUGUAGAUUAUCCAUCUCUUCUUCAGAACUUACCAGCAUGCUUUUCAAUUGUUCAAUCUGCCUAUGCUUCUCUCGACUAGCUUCAGCUUCCACCACGACUGCCAUAGUCUUACAAUUCUCGAGUUCAACCCGCAUAGCACUUCUUUUAUCCACGAAAUCAAAAGCUCUCUCCUCUCACUGACAUUAGUUUCCAACUCAGAUUUCAAGGACUGGAGAGCCAUAAUCAAUUUUGCAUUUUCUUCAAUGCAUUGUGCUUCGCCAACCAUGUGACCAUUCAGCUUGGUCACUACAUCCAGGUGCUUCAAAAGAAGAUCCUCAUUGCACCUCUCUGAAGAGCUUAGUCUUUCAAGAACCUCCUGCAUCCUCUUCCAGAACUGAUUUUCUACGUAAACAACUUCAACUUCAGAAACUAACAGAUCCAAUAAAUGUUGCCUGAGAUGGACCAAGGAAGCAUUCUGAUCAUCAAAAGAUAGCAUCUGCUCAUGUUUCACAUUCAAUUGGGAGCCUAGAUGAUGUGUUGCUAUGUAUGCUUGUAACCACCCUUUCCUCGUUAUGAGUAUCAACUUGAACAGGAGGAGAAGCUCGCCAAGCAACAGAUGGAGGUUAUCAAUUCGACUAUGUAUUUGACUGGACUAUAUUGAAGUACCCUCAGAUUGGUGCCACUUCAAGAGCACGGCUAUUGGACUGAUCCGGAUGAGAUCAACAGUGUAGACCAUAUUAGGUUGUUGGAAGAAUCUCUCAAGGAAUCACUCAGUCGAAUCCAGACACAUAAGUUUCGGAAAGUGAUGCAUGUACCGUUAAUAAUGGGUGGUGAACAACAAGCGCAGCCACUAUCAUGGUUUCACAAUAAUGAUGGUCAGCAUAUGAUGAUGUCAGAUGACCCAAAUCUGCUGCCUCAAAGGGUGAGUUUCAGACUGAAAACUGAUACAAAUCUCUUUGAGAUUGCAAAGUGCAAGACAUCUGUGUCUGCAAUUGAGGUGUAUCAUGGGGCUGAUGUUUCAGGUGUCUUGACAGUAAUGACUCUAGGGAUGUAAGUUAAAACUGGUCAUGUGUAAUUUCCAACAUUUACUGGAUGUACACAAUGUCGCGAUCAUACACUUUAUGGACAGGUUUUAUGCAGCAGUCGCUAAAACAACUUUCAAGGGUGACAGCCAAUCAAGUUUGCAUCGUUUCUGGUAUGUAUGUUACAUUCUCACUAUGGUUGAGCUAUCUUAAAAAGGUAGCUUGUUUGUCCAUGUUCAGGUGAGGUAGAAGAUGUUUUUCUUGAAAUAUAAUAUUCUUUUCAGAUUUGGGUAAUCAGAGUUUUUCCUCCUGAUUCAAAUUGUGCUACUUCAGUUAUUACCUGAAUACUUGAGAAUUUCUAGGUCCCUUUAUUUAAUCUUUUGCUUGUUACGCUGUUUGUCGAAGAUCCUAAAAUUUAAUAUGGGUUACAGGUAUUUGGCUGAGCUGGACAUAAAGGGGAAUGGGAGUGAUGAUCUUGGGGGCAGCUUGCUAAGUUGCUUCCCUGAAAGCUUCACAUCCAUGGGAACACUGAAUUUUGCUAAUUUAUUCAUGUGCAUGCUCAUGCUCAUGCUCAUAUAUGUAAAUUAACUGUCAUGUUCAUUUUAUCUUUCUUUCUGAAGGUCUCAUUUGAAGUGAAUUUUCCCACACUAGACAUGCAUCUUUGUCAACCUUCUCUUGUCAUUCAGUUUUAAGCAUAAAAAUUCCAUUUUGUUAUUGCUGCUGUGUUUAUACAUUGAGCUUCUAUCUAAAUGCAGGCCAGCCAAAAGAUAGCUGAUGCAAAUUGCAAAAGAUUUCCAAGCAGUUCUGAAAGAGUUUCAGAAAGCUCAGCGGCUUGCUGCUGAGAGGGAGACAACAUAUGCUCCUUUUGUUCCUCAAGCAGUUCUUCCUUCCAGUUAAAGCGGAUUGGAUAAAGCAUUUUACCAUUUAGUUUCAGGAAUUUCUUCUUUGCAUUUGUUGUCUUCCAGGUAAAGGGACCAACCACUCAACAUUCAGCAUAAGGUCUGGCAGUUUUGUGAAAUAUCCAUAAGCAAUUCUUAGCUGUAGGUCUGAUACAUUUGCGAUGCUGGUUAGAUUCAAAUGAACAACCCAAGUAUCACUUGUUCUCUAGACAUUUCAAAUGCCCCUCGAUUUUCCCCAGGUUUUUCCAGUGUUCUUGAAUUUGCAGAAGUUGCCUGUAUGAUGCAUACAUUUAGAACCAUUUAGGUAUUUUUACACACUAUGAAUCUCUCCUACACCAAUGGAAAAAAAAAAAAAAAAGUAUUGCUUUCUCCUGUAUGGAGAUUCCCAAAUUAAUGACCACGAUACUGCUGGGUCAACUCUUUACCUAUUUCUAGGUUUUUUUUCGUUUUCUUUUUAUUUAUUUAUUUUUACUUUUUUGUUUCUGUGUAGUAAAGGUUAAACAGACUUUUUUUUUUUUGAUUGAUUCAAUGUUUUGUUUGUUCUUCAUCAAUUUUUAUUGGUGGGUUUAUUGUCAUGCACGCUCAUAUGAUGGGGAAUCAUAUAUUAUUUUGUUUUUCAUGCACAACAAGCUUCUAUGGUCAAGUAAUGUUUGAUCUCACCAUAAAAUGGGAGAUAUCCUUGUUAUUUCAUCAUGAAUAAUAUGUCCCUAAUGUUGUGGCGCUGCUCAUCUUUAUACAGUUAUACUGUGAGUGUGAUAGACAUACAUUCAGAAAAAACUACGGAAGAGGGUGCCCUUCUUGUAGAAUCUAGAAGCAUGUAACUGAAGGUCUGACCUUGGGUCAAAUGUGCAGAUGAUGUAAUGAGCCAAAAGCCAGACGUUGAGUUGGUUAGUAGAUGGAUAGAAGAUCUUAUACACAGGGAGUACUUGGGGAGGGAGAAAGAUAAUCCUAGUGGAAUUAGAUACAUUGCUUGAAUUGUUAUCCAAAAUGGGCUCCACAUAAGUGUACAUAGUGAUUUUAUCAAGUGUUUUCAUCUCAAGAUUUAGGAUUUUGUGGAGAGCUCCAGGAUUUCCAUUGUAGCAGCUGCGGCAUUUCUUAGAAAAUUAUACAAAGACUAUCUUCGUAUUA